GACAGAGGCCUCGAGCGUUAGGCGGAAUCACUGGGCUUAAAGCGUGUGUAGGCGGGCCCGUAAGUGUCUUGUGAAAUCCCCCGGCUCAACCGGGGAACGGCUGGGCAUACUGCGGGUCUGGGCCGACUAGGGGCAGCCGGAACAAGCGGUGGAGCGGUGAAAUGCGUAGAUAUCGUAAGGAAGACCAGUGGCGAAGGCGGGUCGUCUGGACAGUUCCUGACGCUGAGGGCACGAAGGCCAGGG
rnacentral:rRNA from 1 species